rnacentral:rRNA from 1 species
UUAAGCGACUAAGCGUACACGGUGGAUGCCCUGGCAGUCAGAGGCGAUGAAGGACGUGCUAAUCUGCGAUAAGCGUCGGUAAGGUGAUAUGAACCGUUAUAACCGGCGAUUUCCGAAUGGGGAAACCCAGUGUGAUUCGUCACACUAUCAUUAACUGAAUCCAUAGGUUAAUGAGGCGAACCGGGGGAACUGAAACAUCUAAGUACCCCGAGGAAAAGAAAUCAACCGAGAUUCCCCCAGUAGCGGCGAGCGAACGGGGAGCAGCCCAGAGCCUGAAUCAGUGUGUGUGUUAGUGGAAGCGUCUGGAAAGGCGCGUGAUACAGGGUGACAGCCCCGUACACAAAAUGCACAUGCUGUGAGCUCGAUGAGUAGGGCGGGACACGUGGUAUCCUGUCUGAAUAUGGGGGGACCAUCCUCCAAGGCUAAAUACUCCUGACUGACCGAUAGUGAACCAGUACCGUGAGGGAAAGGCGAAAAGAACCCCGGCGAGGGGAGUGAAAAAGAACCUGAAACCGUGUACGUACAAGCAGUGGGAGCACGCUUAGGCGUGUGACUGCGUACCUUUUGUAUAAUGGGUCAGCGACUUAUAUUCUGUAGCAAGGUUAACCGAAUAGGGGAGCCGAAGGGAAACCGAGUCUUAACUGGGCGUUAAGUUGCAGGGUAUAGACCCGAAACCCGGUGAUCUAGCCAUGGGCAGGUUGAAGGUUGGGUAACACUAACUGGAGGACCGAACCGACUAAUGUUGAAAAAUUAGCGGAUGACUUGUGGCUGGGGGUGAAAGGCCAAUCAAACCGGGAGAUAGCUGGUUCUCCCCGAAAGCUAUUUAGGUAGCGCCUCGUGAAUUCAUCUCCGGGGGUAGAGCACUGUUUCGGCAAGGGGGUCAUCCCGACUUACCAACCCGAUGCAAACUGCGAAUACCGGAGAAUGUUAUCACGGGAGACACACGGCGGGUGCUAACGUCCGUCGUGAAGAGGGAAACAACCCAGACCGCCAGCUAAGGUCCCAAAGUCAUGGUUAAGUGGGAAACGAUGUGGGAAGGCCCAGACAGCCAGGAUGUUGGCUUAGAAGCAGCCAUCAUUUAAAGAAAGCGUAAUAGCUCACUGGUCGAGUCGGCCUGCGCGGAAGAUGUAACGGGGCUAAACCAUGCACCGAAGCUGCGGCAGCGACGCUUAUGCGUUGUUGGGUAGGGGAGCGUUCUGUAAGCCUGUGAAGGUGUGCUGUGAGGCAUGCUGGAGGUAUCAGAAGUGCGAAUGCUGACAUAAGUAACGAUAAAGCGGGUGAAAAGCCCGCUCGCCGGAAGACCAAGGGUUCCUGUCCAACGUUAAUCGGGGCAGGGUGAGUCGACCCCUAAGGCGAGGCCGAAAGGCGUAGUCGAUGGGAAACAGGUUAAUAUUCCUGUACUUGGUGUUACUGCGAAGGGGGGACGGAGAAGGCUAUGUUGGCCGGGCGACGGUUGUCCCGGUUUAAGCGUGUAGGCUGGUUUUCCAGGCAAAUCCGGAAAAUCAAGGCUGAGGCGUGAUGACGAGGCACUACGGUGCUGAAGCAACAAAUGCCCUGCUUCCAGGAAAAGCCUCUAAGCAUCAGGUAACAUCAAAUCGUACCCCAAACCGACACAGGUGGUCAGGUAGAGAAUACCAAGGCGCUUGAGAGAACUCGGGUGAAGGAACUAGGCAAAAUGGUGCCGUAACUUCGGGAGAAGGCACGCUGAUAUGUAGGUGAAGCGACUUGCUCGUGGAGCUGAAAUCAGUCGAAGAUACCAGCUGGCUGCAACUGUUUAUUAAAAACACAGCACUGUGCAAACACGAAAGUGGACGUAUACGGUGUGACGCCUGCCCGGUGCCGGAAGGUUAAUUGAUGGGGUCAGCGCAAGCGAAGCUCUUGAUCGAAGCCCCGGUAAACGGCGGCCGUAACUAUAAACGGUCCUAAGGUAGCGAAAUUCCUUGUCGGGUAAGUUCCGACCUGCACGAAUGGCGUAAUGAUGGCCAGGCUGUCUCCACCCGAGACUCAGUGAAAUUGAACUCGCUGUGAAGAUGCAGUGUACCCGCGGCAAGACGGAAAGACCCCGUGAACCUUUACUAUAGCUUGACACUGAACAUUGAGCCUUGAUGUGUAGGAUAGGUGGGAGGCUUUGAAGUGUGGACGCCAGUCUGCAUGGAGCCGACCUUGAAAUACCACCCUUUAAUGUUUGAUGUUCUAACGUUGACCCGUAAUCCGGGUUGCGGACAGUGUCUGGUGGGUAGUUUGACUGGGGCGGUCUCCUCCUAAAGAGUAACGGAGGAGCACGAAGGUUGGCUAAUCCUGGUCGGACAUCAGGAGGUUAGUGCAAUGGCAUAAGCCAGCUUGACUGCGAGCGUGACGGCGCGAGCAGGUGCGAAAGCAGGUCAUAGUGAUCCGGUGGUUCUGAAUGGAAGGGCCAUCGCUCAACGGAUAAAAGGUACUCCGGGGAUAACAGGCUGAUACCGCCCAAGAGUUCAUAUCGACGGCGGUGUUUGGCACCUCGAUGUCGGCUCAUCACAUCCUGGGGCUGAAGUAGGUCCCAAGGGUAUGGCUGUUCGCCAUUUAAAGUGGUACGCGAGCUGGGUUUAGAACGUCGUGAGACAGUUCGGUCCCUAUCUGCCGUGGGCGCUGGAGAACUGAGGGGGGCUGCUCCUAGUACGAGAGGACCGGAGUGGACGCAUCACUGGUGUUCGGGUUGUCAUGCCAAUGGCACUGCCCGGUAGCUAAAUGCGGAAGAGAUAAGUGCUGAAAGCAUCUAAGCACGAAACUUGCCCCGAGAUGAGUUCUCCCUGACUCCUUGAGAGUCCUGAAGGAACGUUGAAGACGACGACGUUGAUAGGCCGGGUGUGUAAGCGCAGCGAUGCGUUGAGCUAACCGGUACUAAUGAACCGUGAGGCUUAACCUU